UGAAUCCUACGGGACGCAGCAGUGGGGAAUAUUGGGCAAUGGAGGAAACUCUUACCCAGCAAUGCCGCGUGAGUGAAGAAGGUCUUCGGAUUGUAAAGCUCUUUGAUUGGGGAUGAAAAAAUGACGGUACCCAAAGAACAAGCCCCGGCUAACUACGUGCCAGCAGCCGCGGUAAUACGUAGGGGGCAAGCGUUGUCCGGAAUGACUGGGCGUAAAGGGUGUGUAGGCGGUUUAUUAAGUUAGAAGUGAGAUACCUAGGGCUUAACCCAGGUGCUGCUUUUAAAACUGAUAGAAUUGAUUGCAGU
rnacentral:rRNA from 1 species